rnacentral:rRNA from 1 species
GAUGAACGCUAGCUACAGGCUUAACACAUGCAAGUCGAGGGGAAACGACAUCGAAAGCUUGCUUUUGAUGGGCGUCGACCGGCGCACGGGUGAGUAACGCGUAUCCAACCUGCCCAUCACUUGGGAAUAACCUUGCGAAAGUAAGACUAAUACCCAAUGACAUCCCACGAAGACAUCUGAAUGGGAUUAAAGAUUUAUCGGUGAUGGAUGGGGAUGCGUCUGAUUAGCUUGUUGGCGGGGUAACGGCCCACCAAGGCAACGAUCAGUAGGGGUUCUGAGAGGAAGGUCCCCCACAUUGGAACUGAGACACGGUCCAAACUCCUACGGGAGGCAGCAGUGAGGAAUAUUGGUCAAUGGGCGAGAGCCUGAACCAGCCAAGUAGCGUGCAGGAUGACGGCCCUAUGGGUUGUAAACUGCUUUUAUAAGGGUAUAAAGUGGGUCUCGUGAGACUUUUUGCAUGUACCUUAUGAAUAAGGACCGGCUAAUUCCGUG